UACGUAGGGUGCAAGCGUUGUCCGGAAUUAUUGGGCGUAAAGAGCUCGUAGGCGGUUUGUCGCGUCUGCUGUGAAAACUGGGGGCUCAACCCCCAGCCUGCAGUGGGUACGGGCAGACUAGAGUGCGGUAGGGGAGAUUGGAAUUCCUGGUGUAGCGGUGGAAUGCGCAGAUAUCAGGAGGAACACCGGUGGCGAAGGCGGGUCUCUGGGCCGAUACUGACGCUGAGGAGCGAAAGCGUGGGGAGCGAACAGG
rnacentral:rRNA from 1 species